rnacentral:lncRNA from 12 species
CUCCUGUGGAGUUCUAUCUUUUUAUUUUACAGAUGACGAUACUGAGGACCAGCAUUCCAAUUACCUGUUGAUCUGCAAUAAAUUACCUCCAAAUACAGUAGCUUAAAACAACGAUUUUGUUACAGCCCAAAAUGUUGUGAGUCCUGCAUUUGGGCACAGAUCAGCUGAGUGAUUCUUCUGCUCCUUGUGUUGAUGACUGGGACUGCCAGGUGUUAUUUACCUGGCAGAGAGGAUCCUUUCCUCUCCCUAGACUUCAGACAAUUCACAUCGAACCACAGAGCAUCUCCCACAAGAGGAGUGGAUCACUAUAAGAAUGCCAAACUGCUCCCCAAAUGUGUUCACUAAUGACCAGGCUGCCUAUGUCAUACAUGAGGUAUACGACAAAAAGAUGACAAGGGACAUUUUCCUACCUUCAGUUGGACAUCCUACCAAGAUGAUGUGCCAGGCUCUGUGGAGGCCACAUGAUAAGCCAACUUCCCAGUCCUCAAGUAAUGUGGAAGGGGGAUGUGGAGCCGAGGUCAGGACAACCACAAGACAAAAAGCUAAUGACUUCGGGGAUGCUGUGCAGAGGUUCUGAGAGAGACCAGAACUGUAGUGGAAGGUGCAAUGAAACCCUUUGAUAACAAGAACAGGUUAAGCUGCAGGAUGACACAACACAGCUCACCUUGAACUCUAUGGGAGUUUUUAUUUGAUUUUGAAUUUUGAAUUCUCCAACAAAGGAAAUCAGUGCUCUGGAAGCAUUACCCAAAAAAUUACCAAAAGAAGCCAAAUUCCCAGAAAUUCAGGAAACAGGAGAAACUGAGAUAAAUCUCUUUUAUUUGCCGGUUUAGGGACAUUUGGGGAAAUUUAAAACAUACACAAUAUGCUUUUAAAGUAAUCUUUAAUGAUUUUUCAGACUUAGAGAAAAGUCAGAAAAAUCAUACUUAGAAUUCCUACAUAACCUGCACCGUGGUUCUUCGAAUAUUAACUUUGACACCUUCACUUUAUUCUCUGUCUCCCCUCCAACAUCUCUCUCCCUUUAUUCUUUGUUUCUGAACUAAUUUGAGGGUACAUAGAAAGCAUUAUACCUCUUUACCUCUAAAUACUUCAGCACGUAUUUCCAAAACACAAGGAUAUUCCCUAACACAAUGACAGGACAAUUAUCAAAAUCAGAAAGUUAACUUUGAUCCUCUAAUAUUAAUUAUCUCCAGAUACUAAAACUUCAUCAAUUG